AGAAGAUUGCCAUCCAUCCGUAACUCAUCCAAAGCAUAAAGUCCACGAAAGCUGCCCUCGCUGAGGGAGGAGAGAGAGUUGAAGGAUAUCCAGAGGUAUUCCAGGCUGAUGAGAUGAGGAAACGAUCGCACUUCAGUCGGAACUGGAGGCUGUGGAGAAGCAGAUCCUGGAUCUACUAGAGAAGCAGACACGCCUGCGAGAACGAAAAAUGGCGCUGGAAACAUCCAGAGCUGACGAUCGCAAAUCCGCGAGCCCAGGCUUCGAGAACAUGGUCAGCCCAAAUGAACUUCACUCCUGCACCGGCACACCCAUGGCGAAAGGCGCGAGCUAGGACUGGAGCGAUGACCCAACCGCCGCCACCGGUCUUCGAGAUCCCGACCAGGAACCGCUUUGUCGCCCUCUGCGAGACGGAAUGCAACGCUGUGGUCAUCGGAGACUCAAUCGUCCGGAACGUACGCGCUUCCUCCACUAAAGGUAAGGUGCGCACUCAUUGUUUUCCUGGCGCCCGUGUUCUUGAUGCUCUGCGCAGGUACCUGCGAUCCUGAAGGACGAUGCUAACGUCGGAGCUGUCGUGCUGCACGCGGGGGUGAAUGACGUCAGGAUGAGGCAGUCGGAGAUCCUGAAGAGGGACUUCAGGAGUCUGAUCGAGACGGUACGCAACGCAUCGCCCACGGCGAGGAUCAUCGUAUCAGGGCCGCUUCCUACCUACCGACGAGGGAAUGAAAAGUUCAGUAGACUAUUUGCUCUAAAUAAAUGUUGAUGUCAUGGUGUAUUGAACAGAAGCUGCUCUUUGUUAAUAAUUUUGAUCUGUUCUGGGAGCGACCUAGGCUCUUCCGCCCUGACGGCCUGCACCCCAGAGCAUCGGAGCGGUUCUUCUGUCUGACAACAUCUCAAAGACGC